GUUCAUCCUCAUAAUCCUCUGAAAGGAAAGCAGAUAAAAAUGCAGUCUCAAACUCAUUCCAGGUGGUUAUGGUGGACCGUCUGACUUCCCACCAGUCUCGUGCUGUUCCGUACAAGACAGUACGGAAGGUAGCCAGGAUGUCUGCAUCUGUCAGGGGAUGUAUAGCCAAAAAAUCCUGACAUUUGGUUAGGUACAAUAGGGGGUCUGCAUCAUCUGAAGGCCUUCCAAAUGUGGGGAAGGUUAAUUUAAUAUGGUCACUUUUAACCACAGAUGUUAACGGAGGGGUUGAAGAAGUUGAAGGAGUCACUGGAGCAGAAGGAGAUGGCUGGGAUGAAAUACUGAUAGUGCUGGGACCUGGUGGCGUCAAGACGCUUAACCUUUGUUGAUCUGCACUUUUUUUAACACUUUGAAAUCCUUUCUCCACUUCACUUUUCAACCCUUUGAAACCGUGUUUUGAACAGCUUUGAUGUCCUGCUGAACCUCUGCUUGGAGUUGAUCAACCAUGAAUCGUAGUUCAGAAACCAAGCAAGAUCAGCAAUCUGGCUCUGGUGCUGAGAAGAGGUAUCUUUCACUUCCUGGGUGAGAGUUUGUACUGGAGUGCUCCCAGCCAGAGCAGGAGAGGACAUGUGCACAUGGGUUCCAGGAUGAACAGGGCUGAGUGGAGUGGGGGUAUGGUAGAACACCGGAGCACAUGGAGGUGGUUCCAGAGGCAUCCCCGGUCGCAGUGCAGGCGGCCAUACUGGAGUUGAGAUGUCUGGUGGAGGCUCAAUUUCCACAAAAGUAGAUUGGGAGGGAGGGGUAUGUGCCAUGAUUGCGGUGAUUGAGUGCAAGAAUGUUGAGUGUGAAAACCAAUAAAUAUCAGUAAAUGAGAUGUGUUUCAGUUUGUUUGUCCCUGAAAUAUUUAUACUAAACAACAAAAUACAACAUUUCACAACUGUUCAAUCAUUAUUAUCUCACAAACACCAAGUAAAUCAAAAACAAUAAGUAUUCAAAGUAAGUCGCUUUCACUAUUUUCCACUAUUCAAACAAUUAUCAAUUACUGUGACACCUUAGAGAGAACACCUCUAAUUGUUCAUUUAGCGUUCACAGUAUACACACAAAAAAAAAAACAAUUUUCAAGAUUAAUUUAGACAAUUUCAU